rnacentral:sRNA from 1 species
GCUGGGCAUAGUGGCGCGUGCCUGUAAUCCCAGCUACUCAGGAGGCUGAGACAGGAGAAUUGCCUGAACCCAGGAGGCGGAGGUUGUGGUGAGCCGAGAUCGCGCCAUUGCACUCCAGCCUGGGUAACAAAACAAGAGCGAAACUCUGUCUCAAAAAAAAAAAAAAAAAAAGAAUCUUGCUCUGUCACCCAGGAGUGCAGUGGCAGGAUCUUGGCUCACUGCAACCUCUGCCUUCCGGGUUCAAGCGAUUCUCCUGCCUCA